UCGGGAAUUUUGGGCAAUGGGCGAAAGCCUGACCCAGCAACGCCGCGUGAAGGAUGAAGUAUUUCGGUAUGUAAACUUCGAAAGAAUAGGAAGAAUAAAUGACGGUACUAUUUAUAAGGUCCGGCUAACUACGUGCCAGCAGCCGCGGUAAUACGUAGGGACCAAGCGUUGUUCGGAUUUACUGGGCGUAAAGGGCGCGUAGGCGGCAAUUCAAGUCAUCUGUGAAAUCUCCGGGCUUAACUCGGAACGGUCAGAUGAUACUGCUUUGCUAGAGUGCAGAAGGGGCAAUCGGAAUUCUUGGUGUAGCGGUGAAAUGCGUAGAUAUCAAGAGGAACACCUGAGGUGAAGACGGGUUGCUGGGCUGACACUGACGCUGAGGCGCGAAAGCCAGGGGAG
rnacentral:rRNA from 1 species